AGGCUGCAACUCGCCUGCAUGAAGUCGGAAUUGCUAGUAAUCGCAGAUCAGCAUGCUGCGGUGAAUACGUUCCCGGGCCUUGUACACACCGCCCGUCACACCAUGGGAGUCGGUAACACCCGAAGUCGGUAGUCUAACCGAAAGGAGGACGCCGCCGAAGGUGGGAUUGAUGACUGGGGUGAAGUCGUAACAAGGUAGC
rnacentral:rRNA from 1 species